rnacentral:rRNA from 1 species
UACGUAGGGUGCAAGCGUUGUCCGGAAUUAUUGGGCGUAAAGAGCUCGUAGGCGGUCUGUCGCGUCGGAUGUGAAAAUCCAGGGCUCAACCCUGGACCUGCAUUCGAUACGGGCAGACUAGAGUUCGGUAGGGGAGACUGGAAUUCCUGGUGUAGCGGUGAAAUGCGCAGAUAUCAGGAAGAACACCCGUGGCGAAAGCGGCUCUCUGGAACGGUACUGACGCUGAGACGCGAAAGCGUGGGGAGCGAACAGG